AGUUUGAUCCCGGCUACGAUGAAUGUUGGCGGCGUGCCUGAGAUAUGCCAGUCCAACGUCUUCCUCCCAAGAUGAGGUAGUGGCGGACGGCUGAGUAACCCGUAGGGACCUGCCCCUAUUUGGAGCAUAGCUCCCCGAAAGCGGGGAUAACCUCCUCCCUAUUCCCUUCGGGGGAAAGAACAUAACUGUUUGAAUAGGGAUGGGCCUGCGGCUUAUCAGGUUGUUGGUAGGGUAACGGCCUACCCAGCCCUAUUACGAGUAGCUGGUCUAAGAGGAUGGACAGCCAGAGGGGGACUGAGACACGGCCCCCCCACUCCUACGGAGGCAGCAAUCAGGAAUAGUCGGCAAUGGACGAAAGUCUGACCGCGCGACGCCGCGUGUAGGAAGAAGCUCUAACGAGUGUAAACUACUGUGGUGAGGGAAGAAGUCCCGACUUAGUCGGGAUUGACGGUACCUCACUAGAAAGGGGCCGCUAACUGCGUGCCAGAAGCGUCGGUAAUACGUGGGCCCCCAAACAUUAUCCGGUUUUACUGGGUGUAAAAAGUAGUGUAGGUGUCCUGGAAAGUUUUUGUUUAAAUACUAAGGCUCAACCUUAGGAAAGGCAGAAAAACUACCGGGAUAGAGUUUUCUUUAGGGAGACUGGAACUUAGGGAGGAGUAGUGAAAUGCGUUGAUACCCUAGGGAACACUAGUGGCGAAGGCGAGUCUCUGAAAGAAAACUGACACUGAGACACGAAAGCUAGGGGAGCGAAGCAGAUUAGAGACCUGCGUAGUCCUAGCUCUAAACGCAUGUCUGCUAGCUGCAUUUUUUCGAUUUAUCGAAGAAGUGUGGCGAAGGUAACCCGUUAAGCAGACCACCUGGGGAGUACGGCCGCAAGGUUGAAACUCAAAGGAAUUGGCGGGGAGGCACACAACCAGUGGAACAUGUGGUUCAAUUCGAAACGAACCGAAGAACCUCACCAGGGUUUGACAUCCAAGCGUCCUAUUUCAUGGAAACAUGGAAAAUUCGCAAGAAGGCUUGGACAGGUGCUGCAUGGCUGUCGUCAGCUCGUUCCGUGAGGAGUGCCCUUAAGUGGGACAACGAGCGCAACCCCCACCUCGAGUUACAAGUGUCUCGAGGAACUGCCCUGCCUUUGGCGGGGAGGAAGGAGGGGCAGACGUCAAGUCAGCAUGGUCCUUAUACCCUGGGCUACACACAUGUUACAAUGGACAAACACAAUGGGCUUUGCGAGACCGCAAGGUUAUGCAAAUCCCUCAAAUUUGUCCUCAGUGGGGAUUGAGGUCUGCAACCCGACCUCAUGAACGCGGAAUUGGUAGUAAUCGCGGAUCAGCUAUGCCGCGGUGAAUACGUUCUUGCCUCUUGCACACACCGCCCGUCAAGCCAACAAAGUCGGGAAAAUUUGAAUGCCGAUUUAUCGGCAGAGGAUUCUUCCGGCGAUGGGGGUUAAGUCGUAACAAGGUAACC
rnacentral:rRNA from 1 species